rnacentral:rRNA from 1 species
UAAUACGGAGGGUGCAAACGUUGUUCGGAAUUAUUGGGCAUAAAGAGCACGUAGGCGGUGCGGCAAGUCAGAUGUGAAAGCCCUCGGCUCAACCGAGGAAGUGCAUCUGAAACUGCCACACUAGAGAACGGUUGGGGUGAGUGGAACUCCUGGUGGAGCGGUGAAAUGCGUAGAUAUCAGGAGGAACACCGGUGGCGAAAGCGGCUCACUGGACCGUUACUGACGCUGAGGUGCGAAAGCUAGGGGAGCGAACGGGAUUAGAUACCCCGGUAGUCCUAGCCGUAAACGAUGGGUACUAGGUAAGGGGAAUGCCUAUGGUCUUCCUUACCGGAGCAAAUGUGUUAAGUACCCCGCCUGGGGAGUACGCUCGCAAGGGUA